UCCCUCUGCAUUUUCUAAAUCCCAUAAUGAAGAUUUACCUUAAAUCUUGAUGGUUUCAUUCCUAAACCAAAGUUUGACUCCUCUCUGGUCUGCCAAUUAGACUUGUGGUUCCCUUAAUGAAUAAGAAUUUUUGAUUUUACAACUAGUGGACCUUGUUGGUGGUUACUACUUCUGAUAUUUUUGGAUUCUUUUUCCGACGAAUAGCUGUACAUAGGUUCUACCCCAUAAUAUAAUCCUUAAGAUUCUUAUAUUGAACAAAUAUACGUAAUAGCAAAAUUUGGUGUGGUACACUACAUUGUGUCAAAUUGGAUUCAGCUUGUGAAGUAUCAAUCAGUGACCUUUUUUCAACUAUGAAUGCUUCUUCUACUAUUUUCUACAGAAAGUAACCAUAGCGCUAAUAAUUGGGUGCCCUUCCCAAAUAAGUCCAAUUUGGCAUAAAAGUUAGUAAAUAACAGAUAUUCAUUCUUUAUGUGGAACAAUGAUUUUCUCCGUAAAAAUUGACUGCUAUUUGGCUUAAUUUACUGAAAGUUAUGCAUGUUAGUGGGCAAACCAAAAUUUGCUGUUUGUGUUAGUUGGAAAGCUGCUCAAACAAUUUGUCCUAAAAGCAAGUGUAUACACACAUUUCAAAAAGAUUUGAGCACUUUUUCAUGUGGCUGUAGGUGUCUUUCAAGAUGGUCGGAUCGACGUUAUCUGGCAUGUCCAUUGAUCCAAAAUCUGUUAGUAUUUUCCCUGCUGUUAAAGCACCUGUAGAGUUAUCGGCACAGGUUACAUCAGGAGAGUAUAUUCUGUGGAAUACAUUAGGAAAAUGUCCUGUUGCAGCCACACCUAAAGCCUAGAGGGUGAGA